UACAGAGGGUGCAAGCGUUAAUCGGAAUUACUGGGCGUAAAGCGUGCGUAGACGGUUACAUAAGUCGGGUGUGAAAGCCCCGGGCUCAACCUGGGAAUUGCAUUCGAGACUGCGUAGCUAGAGUGCGGGAGAGGAGAGUGGAAUUCCUGGUGUAGCGGUGAAAUGCGCAGAUAUCAGGAAGAACACCCGUGGCGAAGGCGGCUCUCUGGAACGCAACUGACGCUGAGACGCGAAAGCGUGGGGAGCAAACAGG
rnacentral:rRNA from 1 species